CAAGUAUCCUUCUUGAUAAGC
rnacentral:miRNA from 1 species